rnacentral:rRNA from 1 species
GACGAACGCUGGCGGCGUGCUUAACACAUGCAAGUCGAACGGAAAGGGCCUGCUUUUGUGGGGUGCUCGAGUGGCGAAAGGGUGAGUAACACGGGAGUAACCUGCCCUUGACUUUGGGAUAAAUUCAGGAAACUGGGGCUAAUACCGGAUAGGAGGUCCUGCUGCAUGGUGGGGGUUGGAAAGGUUCGGCGGUUGGGGAUGGACUCGCGGCUUAUCAGCUUGUUGGUGGGGUAGUGGCUUACCAAGGCUUUGACGGGUAGCCGGCCUGAGAGGGUGACCGGCCACAUUGGGACUGAGAUACGGCCCAGACUCCUACGGGAGGCAGCAGUGGGGAAUAUUGCACAAUGGGCGGAAGCCUGAUGCAGCAACGCCGCGUGCGGGAUGACGGCCUUCGGGUUGUAAACCGCUUUCGCCUGUGACGAAGCGUGAGUGACGGUAAUGGGUAAAGAAGCACCGGCUAACUACGUG